AUACCUAACUGGCAGGGGAGAUACCAAGAUCACCAAGGUGGCUUCCCCAGGACGAGGCUUACCCAUUGCCCUCCAGAUAUGCUGACCCCUGAUAUUUCUCCAAAUGUGGGAAACUCUAUUGCAUAAUGUGUGGUAGUGGGAAACUGUGCUCUCCCCU
rnacentral:snRNA from 1 species